UACAGAGGGAGCUAGCGUUGUUCGGAAUCACUGGGCGUAAAGCGCGCGUAGGUGGCUUAGUAAGUUAGGAGUGAAAUCCUGGGGCUUAACCUCAGAAUUGCUCUUAAGACUGCUAAGCUAGAGGUAGGCAGAGGAUGGUGGAAUUCUUAGUGUAGCGGUGAAAUGCGUAGAUAUCGGAAGGAACAUCAGUGGCGAAAAGCGACUUCCUGGACCAAUACUGACGCUCAUGUGCGAAAGCGUGGG
rnacentral:rRNA from 1 species